rnacentral:misc_RNA from 1 species
AACGUGUACCGCGGCGUCAUU